rnacentral:rRNA from 1 species
AGUGAACGCUGGCGGUAGGCCUAACACAUGCAAGUCGAACGGCAGCACAGUAAGAGCUUGCUCUUACGGGUGGCGAGUGGCGGACGGGUGAGGAAUACAUCGGAAUCUACUUUUUCGUGGGGGAUAACGUAGGGAAACUUACGCUAAUACCGCAUACGACCUACGGGUGAAAGCAGGGGAUCUUCGGACCUUGCGCGAUUGAAUGAGCCGAUGUCGGAUUAGCUAGUUGGCGGGGUAAAGGCUCACCAAGGCGACGAUCCGUAGCUGGUCUGAGAGGAUGAUCAGCCACACUGGAACUGAGACACGGUCCAGACUCCUACGGGAGGCAGCAGUGGGGAAUAUUGGACAAUGGGCGCAAGCCUGAUCCAGCCAUACCGCGUGGGUGAAGAAGGCCUUCGGGUUGUAAAGCCCUUUUGUUGGGAAAGAAAAGCAGCAGGUUAAUACCCCGCUGUUUUGACGGUACCCAAAGAAUAAGCACCGGCUAACUUCGUG